CAAAAUGAACAAGUGUUCUGAAGGGCAAAGGAGUGAGGCUGUUCUGGGCCUGCCAAGGGCCUGGACCCUUUUCCACCCCACUGUCCGAGGAGCGGGUGGGGAAAGCCCAGCAUCUUCCUCUGUUCCUCUUCCUUCACAUCACUGGUCACAGCUGGCUGUGUUCCCCUGUGAUGGAGUUCUGACUUGGCUCAAACAAUAGUUCAUUCAAGUGGACACUUUCUGGGCUGUCAUGGAAAACGUCAAUAAAAAACCUGGUUCAUCUGAA